rnacentral:rRNA from 1 species
UGGGGAAUAUUGCACAAUGGGCGAAAGCCUGAUGCAGCAACGCCGCGUGAGUGAUGAAGGUCUUCGGAUUGUAAAGCUCUGUCUUUUGGGACGAUAAUGACGGUACCAAAGGAGGAAGCCACGGCUAACUACGUGCCAGCAGCCGCGGUAAUACGUAGGUGGCGAGCGUUGUCCGGAUUUACUGGGCGUAAAGGGUGCGUAGGCGGAUGUUUAAGUGAGAUGUGAAAUACCCGGGCUUAACUUGGGUGCUGCAUUUCAAACUGGAUAUCUAGAGUGCAGGAGAGGAGAAUGGAAUUCCUAGUGUAGCGGUGAAAUGCGUAGAGAUUAGGAAGAACACCAGUGGCGAAGGCGAUUCUCUGGACUGUAACUGACGCUGAGGCACGAAAGCGUGGGUAGCAAACAGGAUUAGAUACCCUGGUAGUCCACGCCGUAAACGAUGAGUACUAGGUGUAGGAGGUAUCGACCCCUUCUGUGCCGCAGUAAACACAUUAAGUACUCCGCCUGGGAAGUACCGAUCGCAAGAUUAAAACUCUAAAGUG